UGUCUUCGGGGCGGAGUGAAAUUCUCCACCGGCGGUAUAGCCCGCGAGCAGUUUUCUGCUGAGCCUGUGAGAUUCAGGCGCCGACGGUAUAGUCCGGAUGAAAGAAGAU
rnacentral:ncRNA from 1 species